GGAAGUAAAAGUCGUAACAAGGUCUCCGUUGGUGAACCAGCGGAGGGAUCAUUACAGAGUUGCAAAACUCCCUAAACCAUCGCGAACGUACCCGUACCGUUGCUUCGGCGGGCGGCUCCAGGGCGGAGCCGCAACCCUCGCGGGUGCCCGCCGGUAGCCUAACAACUCUGAAUUCUUGGUAUCUCUGAGUAUAACAUACAAAUAAGUUAAAACUUUCAACAACGGAUCUCUUGGUUCUGGCAUCGAUGAAGAACGCAGCGAAAUGCGAUAAGUAAUGUGAAUUGCAGAAUUCAGUGAAUCAUCGAAUCUUUGAACGCACAUUGCGCCCGCCAGUAUUCUGGCGGGCAUGCCUGUUCGAGCGUCAUUUCAACCAUCAGGCCCCCGGGCCCGUGUUGGGGCCCUGCGCGCCAGCCGCGCAGGCCCUUAAAACUAGUGGCGGGCUCGCUGUCGCACCGAGCGUAGUAAUCUUAUCUCGCUUCGGACGCGGCGUGCGCUGGCCGUAAAGCACACCCCUUCUCAAGGUUGACCUCGGAUCAGGUAGGAAUACCCGCUGAACUUAAGCAUAUCAAUAAGCGGAGGAAAAGAAACCAACAGGGAUUGCCUUAGUAACGGCGAGUGAAGCGGCAACAGCUCAAAUUUGAAAUCUGGCCCCCAGGCCCGAGUUGUAAUUUGUAGAGGAAGAUUCUGGCAAGGUACCUGCUAAGUCCCCUAGAACGGGGCGCCAUAGAGGGUGAGAGCCCCGUAUAGCAGGAUGCCGACCCUGUGUGAAUCUCCUUCGACGAGUCGAGUAGUUUGGGAAUGCUGCUCUAAAUGGGAGGUAAAUUUCUUCUAAAGCUAAAUAUUGGCCAGAGACCGAUAGCGCACAAGUAGAGUGAUCGAAAGAUGAAAAGCACUUUGAAAAGAGGGUUAAAUAGCACGUGAAAUUGUUGAAAGGGAAGCGCUUGUGAUCAGACUUGCGCCUGGCGGAUCAUCCGGCGUUCUCGCCGGUGCACUCCGCCUGGCACAGGCCAGCAUCGGUUCUCGUGGGGGGAUAAAGGCUCGGGGAACGUGGCUCCUCCGGGAGUGUUAUAGCCCCGGGCGCAAUGCCCUCGCGGGGACCGAGGUUCGCGCAUCUGCAAGGAUGCUGGCGUAAUGGUCAUCAGCGACCCGUCUUGAAACACGGACC
rnacentral:rRNA from 1 species